GCCUCUGUAGCUCAGUUGGUUAGAGCACUGUACCGGAAUCGCAGGGCCGUAGGUUCAAUUCCUACCAGAGGAC